GUUGGUCGUCUCAAUGCGGCGGAAAGGUGAAUUACACGUUGGGGUACCUAGGCCUUUAUUAGUAGGGGGGAUCAGCCUCUCGAAAGGGAGAUUAAUACCGCAUCAUUA
rnacentral:rRNA from 1 species